UUUUUAUUUUUUAUGUAUGUCAUGUUGUAUUUAUAAAUACUAAGUAGGUAUUGAGGAAUUGUUAAAUGUAAGAUUUAGAUAAGGUGUAUUUUAAAGGUGCCAAGUAAAUUUUUAGGAGCUGAAGCAUAUGUACGGCUAUGCUUCAGCAGCUGAAAUUUUUUUUGUAGCUGCAGCAUAUGCCUGAGUUUGUGACAGCCAUGUGGUUAUUGUUUGAUUCUAUGCAAGGUUUCUUUUAAUAGAUUUAAAACUACAAAUACUCUAAAUUUCAUAUAUUUACGUUGAUGACCUUUGCAUGUCAGUCACAGAAUGUUAAAUGCUGUUACUGUGAGAUAUGAGGUAGAGUUUUCAUAGAGCACAUCAAGUUGUGUGAACUCAUCUUAUUUGCUUUGCACAUGGUCGUGUUGUAUUUAUGUCCCAAUAAGAAGUAAUAUAAUCAUUGCAUUGGAUGCAAGUUUCCAUGAUUUAUGUUGAUUUGUAAUGUAUUCUUACAGUAUUUGCGCAGGUGAAUCCAUUAAGUUUUAUAUUUUAGUUACAAAAGAAAAGUGAAAGCAAGUGUAGCUAUGAAAAAUCUGAUAAAAGACUCUGGAAUACGCAUGUGUUCAGUAGUUUUACUUAGUUAUCAUCCCAUGUAUUACUAAAAGCAGAAUUCACUCACAUGGUUGAUGAAAUAAUUUUCAGAGUUAGUUAGCAUUGGCCUAUGCAAAUCUUUUCUCCUGAGAAUAGAUAGUUUUAUCUUUAUU
rnacentral:misc_RNA from 1 species